GACGAACGCUGGCGGUGUGCUUAACACAUGCAAGUCGAACGGCAGGGCCCUGCUUUUGUGCGGUGCUCGAGUGGCGAACGGGUGCGUGACACGUGAGUAUCGUGAUCUUGACUUUGGGAUAACUUAAGGAAAGUGGGGCUAAUCUCGGACAGGAGACCAUGCUGCAUGGAGGGGGUUGGAACGUUUCGGCUGUUGGGGAUGGAUUAGCGGCUUAUCGGUUUGUUGGUUGGGUAGUGGCUGGCCAAGGCUGUGACGGAUAGCCGGCCUGGGAGGGGGACCGGCCACAUGGGGACUAAGGUACGGCCCAGACUCGUACGGGAGGCAGCAGGGGGGAAUAUGGCACAAUGGGCGGAAGCCUGAGACGGCAGCGCCGCGGUCGGGAUGACGGCCUGCGGGGUAUAAACCGCUGUCGCCUGUGACGAAGCGGGAGUGACGGUAAUGAGAAAAGAAGCACCGGCUAACUACGUG
rnacentral:rRNA from 1 species